UACGUAGGGGGCAAGCGUUAUCCGGAAUGAUUGGGCGUAAAGCGUCUGUAGGUGGCUUUUUAAGUCCGCCGUCAAAUCCCAGGGCUCAACCCUGGACAAGCGGUGGAAACUACCAAGCUGGAGUACGGUAGGGGUAGAGGGAAUUUCCAGUGGAGCGGUGAAAUGCGUAGAUCUUGGAAAGACCACCAAUGGCGAAGGCACUCUACUGGGCCAUUACUGACAUAAGAGACGAAAGCUAGGGGAGCAAAUGGG
rnacentral:rRNA from 1 species